AUUAAAAUUUCUAUGCUAAGGAACUCUGCUGAGUGUCUAUAGCAUCCGACAGCUAGGCACACUCAUGCCUAGGUAAAUGGAAAUGUCUACUUAUUGGUAUAAGGCAUGAUCUUGAUCAUAUAUCUAAUAUGGAAAGAGGGCAUGUUUGUAUUUUUUCUGCAGAAUGCUUCAGGAUCAUGCUUGCUGCCAAGAGUGAUUGGUGUGACAUGCUGACACAAAGGGAUAAUUCUGACAUGUGAGCUUGUUGAGUGCCCUGACAAUGAUGACAGGAAAGCUGUUUUGGGUGUAUGUUCUUGACCCACCUUUGCUUGCCUAUGUCCCAGAUUAUACAAGCUGGCUUGCUUCAAGGUUUUACACUUUGUGAGACAGAGAACAUAGAGACUGUGGAAACUGAUUAGAAAAAUUAAUCAAAAUGAAUAUUUAUAAUGACUUUUCUCUUUCCUUUAAAGUGCCCAGUUAUUUUGACUCAAUGAUGGAUUGACUGGUCUAGAAAUAAAUCCAGUGUUGGAUAUUCUAAUUACGAAGAUAGCUAAAAUAUCUUUAUCAGCCAGCUCACCUGACUCUUACCGCUAUUGACCUGAAAACAGGUUGGUUACUUCCAUACAGUCUCACCUUCAGCAAAGCUCAGAUAUGGCAGUUAUUCAUCGCUAUGAAGAGAUGCAUUGAGCGCUUAUUGUGGCUUUGGUCUGAAUGAAAAAAAAAAGGUGUGCUAUGAGGUACAGCAGCCAAAGAUGGACCAAUGAUGAUUCUAUUAACUCUUAUCAAACUUAGACAGAGGCAUGUGUCAAAAGGAUAUGUUUGUUCAUUAUAAACACUAAAGGGCUGUGCUUGUGCAAAUAAAUACAAAUAAGCUGCAUGUGUUCUCCUGGAUGGGUCAGAAGGAGUCUAGACAUUCAGACCCAAGGCAGGCAGAGCCACCAGCCACCAUAAUUCCCAGACAGGGCCAUGGAAAAUAAGUAAAUUUUAUGCCCCACUCCAGCUAAUUUUUAAUAAAUAAAAAGGGAGGAACUUUAACACCCCUUCUCCCCAGUCUUAAGCUGGCUGAACAAGUCCCUGACACCGGAGCCAGGCAUCUGGCUCUGCUACAUUUACAUCUUCCUGCCAGAGAACUGAGAACUGCCUGCCCACUGAGCUGCUGAAGAGCCUACUUUGCAACUCAAUCCAGCUGAAACAAACAACAGAACUCACCCAUAUUUAUUCAGUGACAUACAUUAAAGAUUGAGCCUUGAUUAGA